GGGGCUGAUUCUGGAUUCGACGGGAUUUGCGAAACCCAAGGUGCAUGCCGAGGGGCGGUUGGCCUCGUAAAAAGCCGCAAAAAAAUAGUCGCAAACGACGAAACCUACGCUUUAGCAGCUUAAUAACCUGCUUAGAGCCCUCUCUCCCUAGCCUCCGCUCUUAGGACGGGGAUCAAGAGAGGUCAAACCCAAAAGAGAUCGCGUGGAUGCCCUGCCUGGGGUUGAAGCGUUAAAACGAAUCAGGCUAGUCUGGUAGUGGCGUGUCCGUCCGCAGGUGCCAGGCGAAUGUAAAGACUGACUAAGCAUGUAGUACCGAGGAUGUAGGAAUUUCGGACGCGGGUUCAACUC
rnacentral:tmRNA from 1 species